CAUCGGGCGACACCGCAGGCUGAGGUGCUGGUCUCCGUCGCAAGCGAAGCUUGCGUAGUGUGUUGAGUAUUCCGUCCGUAAUAAAAUGUCCUGCAGAUUCUCC